rnacentral:lncRNA from 1 species
AGAAGAAGGAAAAUCCAGCCAUUCAAAGAAAUAAAGAAGAGAUAGGGAGAGAAACAGAAGAAGCAGGAGAAGCCGGUAUCAGAGAGUCUAAAGGAGAAGUACUUUCCAAGAGGGUGAAGGUGGAUGCUGACCAACAGGACUGAGGUCAGCCGAGAACUGUAUGUUCCUCAAAGCUUCAGUGAGAUGAUACAGCCCACAGCUCAGAGGUCCAUUGGGAUCAGUCAUAGACCUUACUCUGCCUGGGCCGGAGACUGCCAGCUCCAACUGACCUAGAACACUGCCCCCCAAACAAGCUUUGCUCUCCACCUCAUCCACCAAGGAGCUGCAUGCCUUCCUGUCACAGAUCAGUUGGCAUCUGGGAGAAAAGAGCACGAGGAGGAGAGGAAGAGCAGGCCCAAAGAAGAGGCAGGCGCCAGGUAUUCACACUGGUGAUUCUGCAGUGUACCUAUCCCCAGAAGCCAUGGGUUAGGAAACAGCUGUGGCCUCAAGAUCGCAAAGAGGUGGUCUAGGAUCGGAGACUAGAAUCAGGUAUGUCGUCUGGAGUUGAGAUUCACCCAUCACCACUGCUCACAGCAGAACAUGCAGAUAACCCCAAGCAGAGGGCCAACGGGGAAACGGAGCAGGAAAGAAGCCAGAGCCGGGGAGCAGGUGCCCGCAGCGUCAUGAGAACCGAGAAUGCAUGCAGAGAACUUGGCAGCCAGAGCGCUGCAAGAACAGAG